rnacentral:tRNA from 1 species
GCGGGGUUAGCUCAGCUGGAUAGAGCGCUUCCCUCCGAAGGAAGAGGCCACAGGUUCGACUCCUGUACUCCGCA